rnacentral:rRNA from 1 species
CUCAGAUUGAACGCUGGCGGCAUGCCUUACACAUGCAAGUCGAACGGUAACAGGUCUUCGGAUGCUGACGAGUGGCGAACGGGUGAGUAAUACAUCGGAACGUGCCCGAUCGUGGGGGAUAACGGAGCGAAAGCUUUGCUAAUACCGCAUACGAUCUACGGAUGAAAGCAGGGGACCGCAAGGCCUUGCGCGGACGGAGCGGCCGAUGGCAGAUUAGGUAGUUGGUGGGAUAAAAGCUUACCAAGCCGACGAUCUGUAGCUGGUCUGAGAGGACGACCAGCCACACUGGGACUGAGACACGGCCCAGACUCCUACGGGAGGCAGCAGUGGGGAAUUUUGGACAAUGGGCGAAAGCCUGAUCCAGCCAUGCCGCGUGCAGGAUGAAGGCCUUCGGGUUGUAAACUGCUUUUGUACGGAACGAAAAGACUCCUUCUAAUAAAGGGGGUCCAUGACGGUACCGUAAGAAUAAGCACCGGCUAACUACGUGCCAGCAGCCGCGGUAAUACGUAGGGUGCAAGCGUUAAUCGGAAUUACUGGGCGUAAAGCGUGCGCAGGCGGUUAUAUAAGACAGAUGUGAAAUCCCCGGGCUCAACCUGGGAACUGCAUUUGUGACUGUAUAGCUAGAGUACGGUAGAGGGGGAUGGA